UGCAUUUUCAACGUGCGCGGUGCUCUAAUGUAUGCGUGCCAAGGCAAUAAAACCCAGUUUUAUUCUCUUAUUCAAGCGACCUUCUGUCAAAAGACCCAGAGUGCGUCGUGAAAAGGCGAUAAUUGUGUCUCUGGCGGUCCGAGACGUGUCGGCGGGGGACGUUGUCCACGUCCUGCAGGCCCUCCUAAUCACACGGGGGCGUGGAGGAGCUGAUCAUUUCCCACAGCUAGCACUGCAGGCAGGCGCACCUGUCGGCAAUCUACAUCAGGCCACCUAUUUAAGGACGGAGCGCCUGUCUGCCAGUGUUGGAGAGUUUUGGUGGUUUCCCAUGGUAGAGCUGACUCCUGUUUCCUCUUCUUUGGUUGUUUGCAACUUGUUGAUCUGUUUCUCCCUGCUCGUUUGAGGUCUCCACGCUGCCCUGCUGGACUGUAGAACGUGCAGGACCUGACUCCUGUGUUGGCUCCAUGCUGGAGGUCUUUGUGUGCCCCGGAAGACCGGAUGAGUGCCUCCCUGCGGUCCAGGAGCCAAAUUGAUCUUUGAAUAAAAACUUAGACUUUUUACCACUGCAUUCUACCUGCUUUUGGGUCCUGGAAAAAACCCAAAACCUAACAAACCUAACAAUUUUGCUUGGACCAGCAAAUCAGAGGAUGGAAAUGUGAUUGGUUAAGGAAUCAAUGCCUGAUAGAAACUGGACAGCAAGCAGAAAGUGUUUAUUGUUGCUGACACACCCAGAACCCGUCACAGACAUUAAAUAUUAUUUAAAUUAUUGAACAUUUGUUAAAGAACACUCAUAAUACUAAGACAACUUCUCAAACUGGCUGCUAUCCAACCAGGUUGCUCCUUCAGCAAUCAUGAUGUGCGUGUCAGAUGUUUGCAGCACCUGGUGUGGACCCACCCAGAGGCAAUGUUUCCUUCGCCUGCUGCUGGGAUUCUUUAUCAUGAUCCAGUUGCCUGGCUUAAGAUCAUGUAGUGGUUUGGAUGGAGAGGAUGGGAGGUGUUCCUCAACCUGCUAAGAGAGAAAACCACUUCUUAGUUUUGCAACCUUUUAUCUUCACACAAACUCAUGACCUCACUAAAGGU
rnacentral:lncRNA from 1 species